CAUGGAGGACAACAGAUGGCAGAAGGAAGAGGAAGACGGCAACAAGUGACGCCGCCGUAUCCAUGGCAAUGCCGUCAUGGUGGCGCCGCCGGAUCAGCGCAGCAAAUUCUCACGAAGAAGCCGGCGCAAAACAAAUGUACGGCGCCGACAUGGCAUGGACGCCGACAAACGCUGCAAAUUUUCAAUAAAGGAACGGCGCCAACAAAAUGGGCAGCGUAAAGCCCAAAUAGUAGCGCCGGCGUUUGUGUUAUUUGACGCCGAAUAAAACCGGCAAUUGGACGCAGCAGAUGCAGCAGAUGCGCAGCCGACAGACGCCGGCCAAAUUUAUUUGUUAUUCAGCCACUCGUCGGGAAGGUUCCAUGAUAUCCAAAACAUGAGGCAGAGGACGGACGCGCAUCAUGCUGUGCCAACGUGGGAACAUGGACCAACGCUGGACAUCUCCGAUGGACCAACGAGGGACCAACGCGGGACAUCGACGGUGGACCAGAGAGGGACGACAUCGGUGGGUGGCUGCAGGCGCUAGUGCAUGGCCGCCACAGCUGCUGGACCCCGAUGAGGACGCCGAGGGAGGAUGGUCACAGUGAGUAGCGCCAACGUGGGACCGUUCAGUGAAAGCCGGCGCCAUCAUCGCAAA